rnacentral:rRNA from 1 species
GACGAACGCUGGCGGCGUGCUUAACACAUGCAAGUCGAACGGAAAGGCCCUGCUUUUGUGGGGUGCUCGAGUGGCGAACGGGUGAGUAACACGUGAGUAACCUGCCCUUGACUUUGGGAUAACUUCAGGAAACUGGGGCUAAUACCGGAUAGGAGCUCCUGCUGCAUGGUGGGGGUUGGAAAGUUUCGGCGGUUGGGGAUGGACUCGCGGCUUAUCAGCUUGUUGGUGGGGUAGUGGCUUACCAAGGCUUUGACGGGUAGCCGGCCUGAGAGGGUGACCGGCCACAUUGGGACUGAGAUACGGCCCAGACUCCUACGGGAGGCAGCAGUGGGGAAUAUUGCACAAUGGGCGGAAGCCUGAUGCAGCAACGCCGCGUGCGGGAUGACGGCCUUCGGGUUGUAAACCGCUUUCGCCUGUGACGAGGCGUGAGUGACGGCAAUGGGUAAAGAAGCACCGGCUAACUACGUG